rnacentral:rRNA from 1 species
UACGUAGGGGGCAAGCGUUGUCCGGAUUUACUGGGCGUAAAGGGUGCGUAGGCGGUUGUUUAAGUCUGUCGUGAAAUCCCCGGGCUCAACCUGGGAAUGGCGAUGGAUACUGGGCAGCUAGAGUGUGUCAGAGGAUGGUGGAAUUCCCGGUGUAGCGGUGAAAUGCGUAGAGAUCGGGAGGAACAUCAGUGGCGAAGGCGGCCAUCUGGGACAACACUGACGCUGAAGCACGAAAGCGUGGGGAGCAAACAGG